AUAACCUUUAUUGAAAUACGUAUAGAAAUAAUAAUAGAAGUAAAUAUAAAUAAUGCCAAAUGUAUCCAAUGAAAAAGGAGUGGACUAAAUGUCCGUAUGUGUUAAGGGGUGGGGGGGAGAGACAGUCAACUGGAAUAGUGUAGAUGUAUGUCUAGAGUAAAGAUAAACAGCCUAUCCAUAUAUUUUUUAUCCCAAUGUGUGCUGUAAAGGGAGCACAAUAUAGGAGAAAUAUAUAUGUAAAGAUAGGUGGAAAGAUGACAGCAUGAAUGAAUAAAGGGUGUAAAAAGAGGCAGAAACCUAAAUAGAGGUAAAGAAGGGGAAUAAACUAGGACUAUGAUUCUAGAUGUACACAUAGGUCGCCUAAAACACCCCUUCACAACACUGCUCCAACUUAAACUACACCAUACAUCUAACAGCUGCUUCAAGGCAGCCUAUCCAUACCCCCUUAUUAGCUAAAAAGAGCCAACAUAAUCACUCAGGGACAUCUCCAAGCUAAAUAGAAUGAAUUACAUAAAGCUAAAUUCUGCUAAAGCUAAAGUCUCAAAUUCAGUAAAUUAGCGUCG